UUUUAUAUAAAACUGACCUUUAUUACAAUUUAAAAAGAACAAAGACAAGUUAAUAAGUGCCUUUAAUUACAAUGUACCUGCUAUUUACAAGUAAUUAUACUUUUAAUAUACAGCUUGAGGAAGGUUCAUUCCAUGUGAACUAGAAGCCAUCACAAGUUAAACUCCACCCUUUUAUGACUAUUCAGAGUUGACACAUUAGCAUCAGAGACAGAAAACAAACACCCGUGUCAGUUCCUUAAGUACCAUUACCAAAUGAAAAACCGUGAUCUGGCCGUAGAAGAGUAGAAAUAUGCCCCGACUGAAACAUGACAAAAAGUAUUGCUAUCAUCUAAUCCUAAAUACAAUGCACUGGAUCAUUAACAAUGCAACACAAUUUAUAUAGCACCGUUUAAGGAGAUCAAAGCCUGUGUCCUUACAUUAUCUUACUUGUUCCCAAAACAUCCCUAUGAGGUAGGCAGUGGUUGGUAAUCUUUAUCCCCAUCUUGUAAUAUGGAGAAACUGAGGCACAGAGAAGUUCAAUCAUUUGCUUGAGGUCACACAGUAAAGUUGAUGGUGGAACAGGGACCAUAUAGCCCUGUGCUCGCCUCCAAAAUGAAUCAUUCUCGUUAGACAAAACUGGACAAUUUAAUUUAACACAUUAAUUCACGUUUCCAAGAAAAUUUAAAAUGUGCUUUUCCCCCCUUCACCAGUACAAACUGUUGAAACACUGUAGGCAAGAACAGACAAGGGCAGACAGAUUUAUGCUUUGCUGGAAAGGUAUGGGAGUCUUUUCUUUUACUCAAGGAGUUGAUCUUCCUAGUGGAGACAGUUUAAAGUCCUUGGAGAAAAUAUCCUGAAAAGGCUCUUCUCCUGGCUUUCAGAUUACAGCUUUAGUGGCCAUGCUAAAUUUUCCACAAACUCGGCUUAUUCUUGAGUUACAAAGAAAAUAUCUAAAUAAAAAGUUUAACCUUUGAGUUAAGAGUCCUCCUUUACACAUUUACGGUUUACAUGUUAAGACAGUGGUUCUCAGCCUGUGGGUCAAGACCCCUCUGGAGCUCUUCACCAGCCAUCCUGCAGGUCAGACAUUUACAUUAUGAUUCAUAACAGCAUCAAAAUUACAGUUAUGAAGGAGCAACAAAACACUUAAUGGUUGGGGGUCACCACAACUGUACUAAAGGGUCACAGCAUUGGGAAGGUUGAGAACAACAAGCUUAGGAAGUGGGGACAGUGUAUUUUGGAGAGAGAGUCAGGAGCUAAUCACAACACAUAGUUCAAAUUUUGCUUUUUGAACUCCUUUAGAGUCAAUUGUGUAUUUGAUACUUAAAAAAAGUACUAAAAAUACAUGGAACCAUUGGAGUUCCAGACUCAACUCUCUAGACAUCCAUCCAUCCAUCCAUCCAUCCAUCCUCCAUCUUUCUUUAACUUUUUCUUUCUUUCUCUUUUUCAUUUUUGGCAUUUUUUAUACAGCAUCUCUACUAGACAAAUACUGUGAAUGCUUUCACAUCCCUGGUUAGUUGGCAGGUCUCUGUGAAGUAACAUGGAGGAAUCAACUUCAGAGAGAGAGAGAGAGUGAGAGAGAGAGAGAGAGCAAGAGAGAAAGCGAGAGAGAAAGAGUAUGAGAGAGAGUGAGAGCACCAGCCACAGUCACACAUUACAGAGAGGCUGAACUUUGUGCCAGGUUCAUUGACUGAGUUUACAUGGAAAACACAUAGAAAUACGUUAGGAAUGGUCAAAGUCACCAGCCUUGGCUUGGAGGUCAGUGUGCGACCUUCUCUUGGAGCCUGAGAAGCAGGGGAUGGGAGAUGGCCACUGCAGCUCAAAGUCAGUGGUUCCACAGGGGCUGGUGGUCGGUAGUGGAAGAGAAUCAGGGCAUCCUGUAGAUAUGGCACAGAGGUGAUAGUUGGGGAGACAUUCAUCAGUGCGGACAUGUCCGUGGCAAAUGGACAAAGGAACGGUAGGCCAUCUAUGAGGGGAAGGAGACACUGACUUCACAUCCUAGUCCUUCUGCCUCCUUAAGAGCAUCAGACUCGGAAAAACUGACUUUAUAUCCCAGUUCUUCAGCCUCCUUAAGGGCAUCAGAGUCAGGGGAAGAACCAUAAAAUUCUGAGGCUAGUGUGGAUAUUUAUGAACAUAUAAAACAAAGGUUUAAGCAUUUUCACAUUUAACAAAAAGCUCCUUACUCCUUCAUGAAUGAGAUGCUCAGACAGUUACACAUAUCUGCAGAGAUAAUUAGUAACUGCUGUGUCUUGAGUUACUUUGUACCUUACUUGAAUGAGAGGAUGAGAGGAGUACCUUCAAACUGGUUGGGAACCUAAGAGGCUUGUUACAGUCAACCAUUCUUAGAAGGGAAGCGCUGCAAUGAGAACUACACUGCACUUGUAAGUGUAUUUAUCUGGCUGUACUUGAAAUCCCCACAAGUCACAAGGCAUGCCAAUGCAACAGGGUUAUUGAAUAGGUGGGCAACGUGACAGGAUUUCCCUGUGCCAGUCUGACGAGGGACAGUCAUCAACCUUUAUAACACAGAUACCCAGAACAUUUUACUCAGAAGAGGGCCUGGCCUUGUAGCCCAGGUUGGUCUUGAAUGUAAGACCUUCCUUCUUUCCUACUCUCCCUGUCACAUGAUAACAGGCAUGGGCUGCCAUGCCGAGUUCCUAUAUCUUAAACCAAACCAAGCCAGCCCUACAGAAUAGCAAUGCCAAUCCAAGGGGAAAGUCUGUACUGGGAUAAAUGAAUAUUAAAGGAAUGAUCUUUAAUACUGCCUUUUAAAGAAAAUUAUGCUGCCAAUUUUAUCUGAGAGUGAAAAUCUGAAUAAACAUCUCUCAGUUAAGUGAAAGAACCUGAAGAACAACAAAACAUAAAUAUUUAGAGGUAAGAUGUAAAAAUAAUAAAAGACCCAAAAAUUGAGCAAGACAUAGGAUUUAAAAAAACCAUGCAGGGGUUGGGGAUUUGGCUCAGUGGCAGAGCGCUUGCCUAGAAAGCGCAAGGCCCUGGGUUCGGUCCCCAGCUCCGGAAAAAAGAACCAAAAAAAAAAAAAAAAAAAAACAUGCAGAUGUCCUUUUUCUUCCAAUUUUUAACAUUUUAUCUCCAAAUUUUAGAUAAAAAUUCUAUUUUUCUCUGCGUUCUGUACUGUAAGAGAAGCACUUGUGGCAUAAGUGUGCCCACAGCAAGGAAAGAUGACGCAAAUGCCUCUAUAAAUGGAUCCGCAUUCCUCGCCGUGGGCACACACUCCUAUUUUCACAUCGGCCAGUCACUAACAGCAAACAGCACACUUUCAGUGUCCCCUUGGCACAGUGUCAUACACCUCUUAGAGCUUCCAGGACAUAGCUCUCCAUGCAGACUGUGAUUCCCACAGCCAUCUCUCUCCUAAGCUGCCUGGGUACCGGAAACCAACACUGUCAGAGGAAUGGCGCCCAGAUCACGGGGACUCCCUUCUGUCAUCACAGGGAGCACCGACCUCAAUAUUCCCAUUUCCAAAACCCUGCUUCAGCCUGGCAUCAGCCACUGCAUCGGCACAGGACAGGCCUUGUAAUCCUUGUUCCUUUAUCACCUGCUGGGCCUGCUGGGAAUGCUCGGGUUUAGCAAGGAAUGGUUCUCCCAUGUGGUAUCUGCCCCCCCAUACCUGGGAGGCCCCCUUGCCUCCCAGCCUGCCUGCCAGCCGGCUCAAGGUUUCUCUUCUGUUGCUUUAGGGCGAAUCUCUUCCUUUCACACACCGAGUGAACACCUGUUUACAAUCCUCUCGGCUGAAUGCGCAUUGAGUCACAGUGUGACAAAGCCGCCUCCAGACAGCACUGUCUUUCAAUGGGAGAAUUAUGAACACAAUUUGAAGUCUGAAUGUAUUCAUUAGGAAAACUAAAUGAAGCCAGCUCAAGAAGGCGUCUCAUAAUUACCAAAUAAAACAACUGGAGAAUGGUUCCUUUUACUUCUGCUCUUAUGACACGAGUUCAUCAUGCUAGUAGGAUAAACUUUCCAAAUAUGCAAUAGAACACAGUCUAGUUAGUGCCAGGGCCAGCAACACUUCACACGCACAUAUGCACACCCAUACACACAUGUGCGUACACACAGCUCAUCCCUGGUGAGGGCCCGGCUUGCUCUAACUCUACAGGGGAGAAUCAAGGAAGAGAAGCACCAGGCGUCUGGGUGAACUGUUAGUUCUCUGUGUUGGGUGCCUACUGCUAUUUUCCAUUCAGUUAGAACUUACUGUGGGAGAAUUCCAUUCUGUUGAAUUUACUGUAGGACACUUUUUGUUUUCUCACAAAGAAUAUCAGUAUUAUUUAGAAGUUUUGCAGACUUAGUGAGUGAUUUAGAUAAGGACAAGUCAAAAAUAUGCAGCCAACAUAGUUAUAAAAACAACUUUCUUUUAGAAUUUCGGAAAGGUUCCACAUAAGAUAGUCUAUGGUUUUUUCCUGAUUUCCCUUUUGGGGAGUAUGUGAAGCAGUGUAAAGUGCUUUCAAGCUUUUAGAAGUAUUUAAACAAAAAGAAAUAGCUACUUUUAAUCUAGAUAGGAAAAUAAUCUUAUAAUUUAUUUCUAUCUUUGUGGAUAAGUUUAUGUAAGCAGGAUAAUUGAAUGCAUGCUGUAGAUGCAGUGGUGAUGUUUGUGUGUAAGUCCAGCCUGCAGUGGACACAGUGGUGAUGUUUAGGUGUAAGUCCACCCUGCAGUAGACACAGGGCUGAUGUUUGUGUGUAAGUCCAGCCUGCAGUAGACGCAGUGGUGACGUUUAGGUGUAAGUCCAGCCUCCUUUUGAUGAUGAUUUUUUGCACAUUUAAACUCUGUAACAUUUAGACUUUAAACUAAACUACAGGCUCCAUCCAGCUCAGAGACAGGAACACGGAAUAUGGAUUUCGAGCCAAGUAAAAGAAUACAAGCUCACAGCAAACCAAAAGCCUGAACAAUCAAGUCAAAGACGAUGGCACAGCAGGAGAUCCAGGGUAGCCCCGUGCUGAGGCUCAGCUGAGCAGAGCUGUGUCCCUCACAUCUUCCAGUCCCAACCAGCUAGUGCUUGUCCUUUCAGAAUUGGUGUUGGAGGGAGGGCCUUCUGGUUCCUUGUACAGAACACUGCCAGAUGCAUUUCAUGACUAUGUUGCAUUUCAUGUUUGGAAACUCUGGGGACAUUCGGACAACAGGAUUUCAAGACAUGAUUAUUUAUAAUGAACCUAUCUCUAAAGAGUUUUAUACUUUAGAGAUCACACCGGCUUCCCUGCAGGGACUAAAACAUAACCGAGCUCCUGAGCUGUAAGGUGCCUGUAAGAAUUUGCAUGGUACAAGCACAUGGCCCCGUGACAUGGGUAGUACCACGUGAUGAAGGGACCCUCGUAGCCUGAGAGAUGUUUGGGCCAAACGCACUAAUUCACAGCAGUGGAAAUCAGUGGUUACAACAAGUCUUGCUCUUUACUGCUCCUGGGCUCCCAGGGUAGCCCCGUUAGUGCGUGACCAGCAGAGGCUAGGCCUACCCAUGUGACAUCUUCAUGGAUGACUAGGCUGAUGUCAACAACAUCUAAGAGAGUUUGCAGCUCCACGGGUGUGAUCCACAACCAGGAUGGAAACACAGGCCACAGCUGGUCACUUCACCCUCCCAGGCAUGCUCCUUGUCACAGGGAGGGAAGCCAGCAUGAUUAAUAAGUCACUAGAAUAAGAUGUCACACAGCAGUAGGACAUGGUGUCCUCUCCCUUCAUCUGUAGCCUGCACGUCAGCUAGGCUCCUUUUAAAAUGAAAAGUGAACACGAUUUCCAAUGCCGGCCUCGGAAGAUCCAGAGAGAUGAUUGAACUUUGUAUCUGAGCUGCUUUAGCCACUGAUUGUUGUGAGGCGAUGAAAAUCCGGGCAAUUUGCAUCAGCAGAUACUGCACAGUGCACACCGCUGCUGGCGUGCUUAGGGUGUCGCUAGACUUCAGUGAAAGUCCGAUACUUUCAGGAAGUUAGAAAUUCCCAAGUCAGAGUCUGUUCUAUUUUUAACACUGAGUACUUCAGCAGUGACAUAGCUAUUUAUGUCCACCGCAUUUUGCCACCAGUGCUGUCUGAGAAGCUGAGUCUUAACAAAUCUUCAAUGUUAAAUUACUUGUUAGAGAAAAGAAUAAAAACUGCUCAUAAUUAUCUAGCUUAUGUGCUUUGUGGUAUCUUUUCAAAAAAUGAGAGUAUAAAUCAUUGUACAUAAAAUCCAAAUAGUUAAUAUAUAUAUAUAUCUUCUGGCACUUCUAGAAAUUAGGCAUUAAACAUAAAACAUCUUAUAAAUUUAUAUAAUAAAAUAAAUGUUUACAUUUUACUCAGAUUACCAUCAGAUUACAGGAAAGUCACACGUGUGGGCAGCAAAGAUCACUGGAAACACAAAUUUAUGUCUGCAGCCCUUUGGGGAUAGACACCAUGGCUGCCAUCCACACAUAAACAUUAAGGCUCUGUUUGGAAGGGAGAGAGCGCUGGCUUUAAAUAACAGCAGAAGUACCACAGUACUUACGGAAAAUCCAAACACUGUUGGGGAAGGUUCUAAACAUAAAACGUUAAAAUGCAUCUAAACUGACCUCAUGUACCGUGUGAAGACUGCAGACGCAGAGUCCAAAUGAGGAGCAAAGACCCCGAGACCCCAGGGACAGCCCACCCCACACCUCACAGCCUGAGCAUCCAGACGCCCAGGGGCCAACAGGGCAGGUCUGGGAGGAGGGCGGGUUAGUGGGAAGCAGUUUCUCUGCAAGCUGACAUUUAGCUGAAGGCCAGUGCAGGCCAGUGGGAGACCGUCCUUGGGAUGAAGCACACAUGGGAGGUUUCCAGUGUUUUAGCACAAGUAGCGGAGGGAAGGAGAGGAAGAAAACAGGGGUCCUCCACAGCCACAGAAUUCCAGGCAGCUGGGAUUUCAGCAUGGGUGGGCGGGGCUCCACCUCCACCUCCUGCAGCCACAGCCAGGCUUCUUCUGUGGAGUGUGCAGGUCGGGGUACCAAGGGUUUCUUGGGAGCACGGAGGUUGCCUGCCCUGGAAGGCAGGUCCGUACCUUACUGUUUCAGAAAGCGGGAAACAGUUGUGAGCCCGCACUUGAC
ensembl:lncRNA